GGGUCUGUAGCUCAGUUGGUUAGAGCACACGCUUGAUAAGCGUGGGGUCACAAGUUCAAGUCUCGUCAUAGCCACCA
rnacentral:tRNA from 3 species